CAACGCCGCGUGGAGGAUGAAGACCUUCGGGUCGUAAACUCCUUUCGAUCGGGACGACUAUGACGGUACCGGGAGAAGAAGCCCCGGCUAACUUCGUGC
rnacentral:rRNA from 1 species